CGAGCUGCUUCUUCGUUUCAAAUACAUUUGGCGCCGCUGCCUAUUGUUUGAGCCUGUGCUCACGAUGAAAACACGCAUCGCAGAAACCUGAAAGCCCGCCAAAAGAGCUCUAAAAACCGCAUCCCAGACCUGCCGGCAGACUUCCGAGCUAAGCCUGAUUAAACAAAAACGUUUGAUCCGGCGGAAUAAUGUGUUUGAUAUUACAUCCCAUGUCAACAAGGAACUGCGCUGUCUGUCUUCGCCCCCAACAGGUUUUAUUCUUCCGGGUUUUUCAAAUCUUUACCAACCCGCGUCCGAUCGUAAUACCCCGAUCACAACAAAUAGUUGAUCGUGCUCCGAUGGCUCCAAACAUCAGCCGGCAAGGAAGUUACGUUUUUCGCUUCUAUAUUUUGACCCAAGUGAUGGCUGGUCGUGGUUCAUCAGCGUUUGUUUUGAAACUGAUGGGUACCACAAGGCAUGAAGGAGGUGACUUGCAGCAGCAAGGCACUGCAAGCCUUCGCAGCAACUGGCUAGCCAGUGCUGCUCUGUUCUGAACUGCACUGCGUGUCAUGCGGAGGUUUUGUGCAAGCUCUCUGGGCGGCGACGCUAGCCACGAUUGGCUUCGUGGAUGCACAGAAAUACUCAAGGCGCUUGACGUCUGUGGCUCAUCUGUAUUGUUUUUCCCGGUACCACGGCAUGAAGGAGCUGGCCUCCCUCCCUUCCAUCAGCUGCGAGAUACUACAAGCACUGGGCUACAGCUGCAGCUAGCCCAUGGGUACCGUUCUGCGUCCUGUACUGCAUCUAGUUCGAAAGGCCAUGUGAAAGGCAGGUACCGGGGACCAUGACAUCAGUGAGCUGGCUUUCACCUUGUCCAAGGCAGCAGCGGAACACUACGGGCGGGACCCUGGAUCACUGCACCAUGGAUGCCGUCCUGUACCCUGCACGGCACUGCGUGUGGCUUAAGUGGCCAAGCAGAGGGUCAUUGCAUGACUUUUAUGAGGCGCCGCUAGCCAUUGUUUCAAACCGUCCUGAAUCACGGACCAAGCCUUGCAAGACCUCACUCUUAUGCCCUCUCCUUUUUGGUGGAUCGGGUCUUGCCAUCUUCCCCUCUCGUGGCUCCCUGUCAUAAAUAAAUUGUAUAUUUUUCUGA
rnacentral:misc_RNA from 1 species